UCCCAACCAUUGUGACUUACCACUGUUGCUUCGGCGGCCUCGCCCCGGGCGCGUUCGCGCGGCCCGGACCCAGGCGUCCGCCGGAGGCUUCAAACUCUUGUCUUUUAGUGUAUUUCUGAGUGGCAUAAGCAAAUAAAUCAAAACUUUCAGCAACGGAUCUCUUGGUUCUGGCAUCGAUGAAGAACGCAGCAAAAUGCGAUAAGUAAUGUGAAUUGCAGAAUUCAGUGAAUCAUCGAAUCUUUGAACGCACAUUGCGCCCGCCAGUAUUCUGGCGGGCAUGCCUGUCUGAGCGUCAUUUCAACCCUCAGGACCCGUUCGCGGGACCUGGCGUUGGGGAUCAGCCUGCCCCUGGCGGCGGCUGGCCCUGAAAUACAGUGGCGGUUCCCUCGCGAACUCCUCCGUGCAGUAAUUAAACCUCUCGCGGCAGGAUAGCGGUUGAACCACGCCGUUAAACCCCCCACUUCUCAAGGUUGACCUCAGAUCAGGUAGGAAUACCCGC
rnacentral:rRNA from 1 species